rnacentral:rRNA from 1 species
CAGUCUCAGUUCGGAUUGAAGGCUGAAAUUCGCCUUCAUGAAGCCGGAAUUGCUAGUAAUGGCAGGUCAGCAUACUGCCGUGAAUACGUUCCCGGGCCUUGUACACACCGCCCGUCACACCAUGAGAGUCGGGAACACCCGAAGUCCGUAGUCUAACCGCAAGGGGGCGCGGCCGAAGGUGGGUCCGGUAAUUGGGGUGAAGUCGUAACAAGGUACC